rnacentral:rRNA from 1 species
GAUGAACGCUGGCGGCGUGCCUAAUACAUGCAAGUCGAGCGAACAGAUAAGGAGCUUGCUCCUUUGACGUUAGCGGCGGACGGGUGAGUAACACGUGGGUAACCUACCUAUAAGACUGGGAUAACUUCGGGAAACCGGAGCUAAUACCGGAUAAUAUUUUGAACCGCAUGGUUCGAUAGUGAAAGAUGGUUUUGCUAUCACUUAUAGAUGGACCCGCGCCGUAUUAGCUAGUUGGUAAGGUAACGGCUUACCAAGGCGACGAUACGUAGCCGACCUGAGAGGGUGAUCCGCCACACUGGAACUGAGACACGGUCCAGACCCCUACGGGAGGCAGCAGGAGGGAAUCUUCCGCAAUGGGGGGAAGCCUGACGGAGCAACGGCGCGUGAGUGAUGAAGGUCUUCGGAUCGUAAAACUCUGGUAUUAGGGAAGAAAAUACGUGUAAGUAACUGUGCACGUCUUGACGGUACCUAAUCAGAAAGCCACGGCUAACUACGUG